rnacentral:misc_RNA from 1 species
GUUUUCUGAUAUAGGAGCAUCAAUAUCUGGAUCAUUCAUAUGAUUAAGUAACCAAUCCAUUGCUGCCUCUACUCCACUGUUGGAAGUAUUGAUAGCAGCCUUCUGACAAUGAAGUAGAUUAAAUCCCAUUGAAACAAGUUGUGCAACAAUAUCAUCGUCAGCCAGAAGCUUUAUUGACUGCUCACCAUCCCCUGCAGCACUGUCAGGCAACAGCUCUUCUCCUGGUUGAAUACCAUUACUUCGCAUGCUACUUAUGUCAAUGGUUUCAGGGACAUCUAUGUAGACAUCGAGCUUCUUUGGCACCCAACCUUCCUCCAUAACAAAUUUCCGCAUGUGCAAAACCAGAUAAUCUGGAAAAGAAGUCAAACCUGCAGUUUUGAUUGC